rnacentral:rRNA from 1 species
GACGAACCGAGCGAACGUUGUUCGGAAUCACUGGGCUUAAAGCGUGUGUAGGUGGGUUUGUAAGUACCUUGUGAAAUCCCAUGGCUCAACCAUGGAACUGCUGGGUAUACUGCGAAUCUUGAGCUGUCUAGAGGUUACUGGAACAAACGGUGGAGCGGUGAAAUGCGUAGAUAUCGUUUGGAACGCCAAUGGUGAAAACAGGUAACUGGGGACACGCUGACACUGAGACACGAAAGCCAGGGGAGCAAACGGG